CAGGACGAACGCUGGCGGCGUGCCUAAUACAUGCGAGUCGAACGAGCUCUCCUAAAUUGAUUUUAUGCUUGCAUAAAUGAUUUUUAGAUUCGGAGCGAGUGGCGAACUGGUGAGUAACACGUGGGUAACCUGCCCCGAAGCGGGGGAUAACAUUUGGAAACAAAUGCUAAUACCGCAUAAUUAGUUGGAACCGCAUGGUUCCAACUUGAAAGAUGGCUCUGCUAUCACUUUGGGAUGGACCCGCGCCGUAUUAGUUAGUUGGUGAGAUAAAAGCCCACCAAGACGAUGAUACGUAGCCGACCUGAGAGGGUAAUCGGCCACAUUGGGACUGAGACACGGCCCAGACUCCUACGGGAGGCAGCAGUAGGGAAUCUUCCACAAUGGACGAAAGUCUGAUGGAGCAACGCCGCGUGAGUGAUGAAGGUUUUCGGAUCGUAAAACUCUGUUGUUAAAGAAGAACAAGUGUUAGAGUAACUGUUAACACUUUGACGGUAUUUAACCAGAAAGCCACGGCUAACUACGUGCCAGCAGCCGCGGUAAUACGUAGGUGGCAAGCGUUGUCCGGAUUUAUUGGGCGUAAAGCGAGCGCAGGCGGUUUUGUAAGUCUGCUGUGAAAGCCCUCAGCUCAACUGAGGAAGUGCAGUGGAAACUACAAACUUGAGUACAGAAGAGGAAAGUGGAACUCCAUGUGUAGCGGUGAAAUGCGUAGAUAUAUGGAAGAACACCAGUGGCGAAGGCGGCUUUCUGGUCUGUUACUGACGCUGAGGCUCGAAAGCAUGGGUAGCGAACAGGAUUAGAUACCCUGGUAGUCCAUGCCGUAAACGAUGAAUACUAGGUGUUGGAGGGUUUCCGCCCUUCAGUGCCGCAGCUAACGCAUUAAGUAUUCCGCCUGGGGAGUACGACCGCAAGGUUGAAACUCAAAGGAAUUGACGGGGGCCCGCACAAGUGGUGGAGCAUGUGGUUUAAUUCGAUGCUACGCGAAGAACCUUACCAGCUCUUGACAUCUUCUGCCAACCCAAGAGAUUGGGCGUUCCCUUCGGGGACAGAAUGACAGGUGGUGCAUGGUUGUCGUCAGCUCGUGUCGUGAGAUGUUGGGUUAAGUCCUGCAACGAGCGCAACCCUUAUUAUUAGUUGCCAGCAUUUAGUUGGGCACUCUAGUGAGACUGCCGGUGAUAAACCGGAGGAAGGUGGGGACGACGUCAAAUCAUCAUGCCCCUUAUGAGCUGGGCUACACACGUGCUACAAUGGAUGGUACAACGAGUCGCGAAACCGCGAGGUCAAGCUAAUCUCUUAAAGCCAUUCUCAGUUCGGAUUGCAGGCUGCAACUCGCCUGCAUGAAGUUGGAAUCACUAGUAAUCGUGGAUCAGCAUGCCACGGUGAAUACGUUCCCGGGCCUUGUACACACCGCC
rnacentral:rRNA from 1 species